rnacentral:rRNA from 1 species
UACGAGGGGGGCAAGCGUUGUUCGGAAUUAUUGGGCGUAAAGAGCUCGUAGGCGGUUUGUCGCGUCUGCUGUGAAAACUCGGGGCUUAACUCCGGGCCUGCAGUGGGUACGGGCAGACUAGAGUGCGGUAGGGGAGACUGGAAUUCCUGGUGUAGCGGUGAAAUGCGCAGAUAUCAGGAGGAACACCGGUGGCGAAGGCGGUGGUCUGGGCCGGAACUGACGCUGAGGAGCGAAAGCGUGGGGAGCGAACAGG